rnacentral:rRNA from 1 species
AACUUUCAACAACGGAUCUCUUGGUUCUGGCAUCGAUGAAGAAC